AUUGAACGCUGGCGGCGUGCUUAACACAUGCAAGUCGUGCGGUAACAGGCGUAGCAAUACGUGCUGACGAGCGGCGAACGGGUGCGUAAUACAUGGGAAUCUGCCCUUUAGUGGGGAAUAACCUGGCGAAAGCCGGGCUAAUGCCGCAUAAGAUCUUCGGAUGAAAGCGGGGGAUCGUAAGACUCGCGCUGAUGGAUGAGCCCAUGUCGGAUUAGCUAGUUGGUGAGGUAACGGCUCACCAAGGCGACGAUCCGUAGCUGGUCUGAGAGGACGGCCAGCCACACUGGGACUGAGACACGGCCCAGACUCCUACGGGAGGCAGCAGUGGGGAAUAUUGGACAAUGGGCGAAAGCCUGAUCCAGCGACGCCGCGUG
rnacentral:rRNA from 1 species